rnacentral:tRNA from 1 species
UCCCUGGUGAUCCAGUGGCUAAGAUUCCACGUUCUGAAUGCGGGGGUCUUGGGUUUGAUCCCUGGCCAGGGAA